UACGUAGGGACCAAGCGUUGUUCGGAUUUACUGGGCGUAAAGGGCGCGUAGGCGGCUUGUCAAGUCACUUGUGAAAUCUCUGGGCUUAACCCAGAACGGCCAAGUGAAACUGACAUGCUAGAGUGCAGAAGGGGCAAUCGGAAUUCUUGGUGUAGCGGUGAAGUGCGUAGAUAUCAAGAGGAACACCUGAGGUGAAGACGGGGUUGCUGGGCUGACACUGACGCUGAGGCGCGAAAGCCAGGGGAGCAAACGGG
rnacentral:rRNA from 1 species